CCUACGGGAGGCAGCAGUGAGGAAUAUUGGUCAAUGGGCGCGAGCCUGAACCAGCCAAGUAGCGUGAAGGAUGACUGCCCUACGGGUUGUAAACUUCUUGUAUAAAGGAAUAAAGUGAGGCACGUGAGCCGUUUUGUAUGUACUUUAUGAAUAAGGAUCGGCUAACUCCGUGCCAGCAGCCGCGGUAAUACGGAGGAUACGAGCGUUAUCCGGAUGUAUUGGGUUUAAAGGGAGCGUAGCUGGGUUGUUAAGUCAGUUGUGAAAGUUUGCGGCUCAACCGUAAAAUUGCAAUUGAUACUGGCAGCCUUGCGUACAGUUGCGGUAGGCGUCAUUCCUUGUGUAGCGGUGCAAUGCUUAGAUCUCAC
rnacentral:rRNA from 1 species